rnacentral:rRNA from 1 species
CCUACGGGAGGCAGCAGUGAGGAAUAUUGGUCAAUGGCCGCAGGGCUGAACCAGCCAAGUCGCGUGAGGGAUGACGGUCCUAUGGAUUGUAAACCUCUUUUGUCAGGGAGUAAAGGGCGCCACGUGUGGCGUUUUGCGAGUACCUGAAGAAAAAGCAUCGGCUAACUCCGUGCCAGCCGCCGCGGUAAUACGGAGGAUGCGAGCGUUAUCCGGUUUUAGUGGGUUUAAAGGGGGCGACGGUGGAAUGUCAAGUCAGCGGUAAAAUUUCGGGGCUAAACCCCGUCGUGCCGUUGACACUGGCGUUCUUGAGUGAGCGAGAGGUAUGCGGAAUGCGUGGUGUAGCGGUGAAAGGCAUAGAUAUCACGAAGAACUCCGAUUGCGAAGGCAGCAUACCGGCGCUCAACUGACGCUGAUGCACGAAAGCGUGGGUAUCGAACAGGAUUAGAUACCCCUGUAGUC